rnacentral:rRNA from 1 species
GAUGAACGCUGGCGGCGUGCCUAAUACAUGCAAGUCGAGCGAACAGAUGAGGAGCUUGCUCCUCUGACGUUAGCGGCGGACGGGUGAGUAACACGUGGAUAACCUACCUCUAAGACUGGGAUAACUUCGGGAAACCGGAGCUAAUACCGGAUAAUAUAUUGAACCGCAUGGUUCAAUAGUGAAAGACGGUUUUGCUGUCACUUAUAGAUGGAUCCGCGCCGCAUUAGCUAGUUGGUAAGGUAACGGCUUACCAAGGCAACGAUGCGUAGCCGACCUGAGAGGGUGAACGGCCACACUGGAACUGAGACACGGUCCAGACUCCGACGGGAGGCAGCAGUAGGGAAUCUUCCGCAAUGGGCGAAAGCCUGACGGAGCAACGCCGCGUGAGUGAUGAAGGUCUUCGGAUCGUAAAACUCUGUUAUUAGGGAAGAACAAAUGUGUAAGUAACUAUGCACGUCUUGACGGUACCUAAACAGAAAGCCACGGCUAACUACGUG